GAAAAAAAACCCUCCUUAAUCAAACCCAUUUCUUUCACCCUCUCUCACGUUCUUCUUCUUCUUCUCCUAAAACACUGGUUCUUCUUUCCCUUCUUCUUCCUUAGUCAAACCCAUCAACCCCAUUUUGGUUUUACCGAAACUCACCACCACCACCACUUCUUCCCCUUCUUCCUCCUUAAUCAAACCCACGAAGACCAACAAUUUCGAAACCACCACCACCACCACCAUUUUCUAUUUUUCUUCUUCUUCAUCUUCUUCAUAUAAUCAGCAUCCACCACCACCAACAUCCUCCGAAAACCACCACUUCAUCUUCUUCAUUAUUUUCUAUUUUUGUUCUUCUUCAUCUUCUUCAUCUCUUUUUCUGUUCUUCUUCUUCUUCUCGCCCAGCCCGUCUAACUGUAUUUGUUCUUCUUCUUCUUGCAGGUGGCUGUUGGAUAUGGGAAGAUCUGGGUUGAGUCCGGUCAGAUCUAGACUGGGGUCAGUCGGAUCUGGGCCGGGUUCGCUGAAUCUCUCCUUCUUCUCAAGCUGAGCUUCGACGGAAAGAGGCGGGAUAGUGGUGGCCUUCGUUUUGAUCGUCGGUGAUGGGAGGCAGCGGUGUGGGUGGCUGGGGGAGAGAAAGGAAUAGAUUGUGGCUGUUGAUCGAUCAUGGAUGGUAAUGGAGAUGGGCAGUUGUAGUGAUGAUGGUGGUCUGUUGUGGAUGAUAAUGCAAAUGAUAGUUAUGGUGAUGAUGGUGGAUGAACCAGAGAGAUCCAAGAAGAAAAGAAAAAAAAAAUAAUAAUAAUAACUUAUUUUAUUUUAUUUAUUUUUAAUUUUAAAAAAAAUUGUAAUAUUUAAUUAUUAUUUUAUUUUAUUUUUUUAAAUAGUUUUGUAAUUUUUUUUUUAAAUAUUUAUUUAUGUGGACCAAUUAAAUUGUGCCACGUGUACACUGGGUCCACGUAGACAUUCCACCCUGGCAGUUAACAACCAAAAAUGGAUGGAAAGGGCUAACUGCUAACGGACUAGUGGUUUAGGUAGUUUUACCACCAAAAUUUUAGAUUAGGGGGUUAGUUGCAAAAACCUGUCCACUAUAGGGGGUUUUGCCGCAAAUAACCCUAUAAAAAAUCGCUAAGUAUUUAAUUUAUAGAGUGCUUAAUAGCAAUACUCAGAAAAAUUUGUUGGGUUGGGAGUUGGGAACUUAUAGUAAACUGCAAACACAAGCACAAUCACUGGUGCAGCUAAUCAAACUUUUACAUUUAGGCCAGGAUUAAGGCAUUAACAAUUUAACUGAAUAAAUUACACAAGCUUUUCCUAUCUUUGUUCUACACUUUCUCAGACUCAAAAUCAAAUGGUCCCCAAGAAGGGGGGUACUUUUACAUCUUGCAUACUAUAUUGACAUAUGCUUUAAGUAAAAGAAACCAAACGUUUAUAUUGGCACAAACGAGACUGUCUGUCAUAAAGCUCAACCCGAUAGCUAGGUAAGCACUCUCAAAAACUAUAUUGUACAAAUGAUUUACGAUGCCAAAACACCGACUCGCUUGUGUCCUCCAAAAGCCUCCCGAAGCCUUUCGUAUCCAUUCCUGUAAUGUUCGAUACAGAAGCAUAGCUGCCUUAUGGCCUCUCUUUUUUCUUCUGCUCCUUCUGAAAUUACCACCCUUUGCCUCUCAACUUCAUCUUCUAGUUCCUGAGUUCUUGAAUUCAGCUCCUUUACUAGUUUCUGUACUGCUUCAGCUUCGGCAAUCAGCUCUCUUCGCUCGUUCUGUGAUUCGACCAAUUGUUUGUUCAAUUGAUCUACCUGAUCAUCUCUAGAGCUAACAUCUGCUUUAAGUGUCAAAACUCUUGAAUUUAAAUCAUCAGUUUCAACUUUCAGAGAAUCAAUGCUCUUAUUCAUAGUUUUAAUGGUGUUAUCUCUCUCUAACAUUUCUGCCUUCAGCUUCUCAAUUACACCAUUUAGUCUCUCCUCCAUUUCUGACUUCUCGGCCUUGAUCUUUCUAAUCUCCUCCUCUAAACACCGUCCUUGAUUUUCUAUAUCCUUAAGCUGUUGUUCAAAUCGAACACGUUCCUCAAGCAAUUUAGAUAUUUCGGCCUUCACUUGUGCUUUUUCAGGAAAAAUCUUCUGCUCAGC